AGUGAACGCUGGCGGUAGGCCUAACACAUGCAAGUCGAACGGCAGCACAGGAUAGCUUGCUCUCUGGGUGGCGAGUGGCGGACGGGUGAGGAAUACAUCGGAAUCUGCCCAGUCGUGGGGGAUAACGUAGGGAAACUUACGCUAAUACCGCAUACGACCUUCGGGUGAAAGAGGGGGAUCGCAAGACCUCUCGCGAUUGGAUGAGCCGAUGUCGGAUUAGCUAGUUGGCGGGGUAAUGGCCCACCAAGGCGACGAUCCGUAGCUGGUCUGAGAGGAUGAUCAGCCACACUGGAACUGAGACACGGUCCAGACUCCUACGGGAGGCAGCAGUGGGGAAUAUUGGACAAAGGGCGCAAGCCUGAUCCAGCCAUACCGCGUGGGUGAAGAAGGCCUUCGGGUUGUAAAGCCCUUUUGUUGGGAAAGAAAUCUUUCAGGCUAAUACCCUGGGAGGAUGACGGUACCCAAAGAAUAAGCACCGGCUAACUUCGUG
rnacentral:rRNA from 1 species